rnacentral:rRNA from 1 species
UGGGGAAUAUUGGACAAUGGGCGAAAGCCUGAUCCAGCCAUGCCGCGUGUGUGAAGAAGGUCUUCGGAUUGUAAAGCACUUUAAGUUGGGAGGAAGGGCAGUAAGCGAAUACCUUGCUGUUUUGACGUUACCGACAGAAUAAGCACCGGCUAACUCUGUGCCAGCAGCCGCGGUAAUACAGAGGGUGCAAGCGUUAAUCGGAAUUACUGGGCGUAAAGCGCGCGUGGGUGGUUCGUUAAGUUGAAUGUGAAAGCCCCGGGCUCAACCUGGGAACUGCAUCCAAAACUGGCGAGCUAGAGUAGGGCAGAGGGUGGUGGAAUUUCCUGUGUAGCGGUGAAAUGCGUAGAUAUAGGAAGGAACACCAGUGGCGAAGGCGACCACCUGGGCUCAUACUGACACUGAGGUGCGAAAGCGUGGGGAGCAAACAGG